rnacentral:lncRNA from 1 species
CUUUCUUGUAUUUUCAUCUUGUCACCCUGUAUUUAUUUAUUUUCCACCCACUUUUAAACUUAGUUACAUCUUUCAUGGUAAACAGGUUCUAGGGAGAUGGUUUGAUUAUGUAUCUUAAAUUCCCUCCCCUCAAUCUCUGUUUCCAUCUGCCAACUACCCUGUCUUGAAUAGAGCAGCUGCUGUGAGCCUGGAGCCUUUGGGCAAAUAAGAGUGUAUACAGUCCCUUGAUUUUACCAGAAGAUGGGAAAGAGAGCUUGCUUUGAUUUUCUUCCUGUAAUCCAGAUGAAGGUUUAGAGACGGGCAGCUGUGAAGCCUUCAGCAAAGGUCUGAACGGAAAGAACCUUGCUUUCAAAGAUACAUGGAUUUAGAGGAAAAGCGGUGCAGUUCAUAUGUAUGGUACUAGGAAGACUAGCUUCAGAGUACCUGUUUGGUUGCUGCAUGGUGGGCACAAUUCCACAUCUCCCUGUGAGGCUGGGGGAGGGGAAGUAAAUAGCAAAAAAACAAAAAAGACAUUGGAAGAGAUUUUCCUCCUGUCAUCUGUGAUGAGGAGUGGCAACUUGCUGGUUAGUAGAUAAUCAGCCUACAGAAGAGAGCUGCCUUCUAUUGCUCACAAGUUUGUUUCCGCUCAAGAGUAUCCCACAAUUUGAUUUAUGCUAAAUGGGGAGUGAGUGGACAAAGAAGAAUAUCUAAGGAAACCUAAAGAAAAAUAGCAUCUAGAGAGAACAGGAACACAGAAGAAAUGGAUGGUGAAAAAGAAUUGCUGGUGGAGAUGAAUGACAACUUUAAUUUUGAAAAAGCACCUGAGAAAAUUCAGUCAGUAUAAAAUAAACUUUCUAGCAAUUAAACUACAUUAAAAUGUGGUAGAAAAAGAGAGGCAUGGCCACUAUUGGGGACUAAAUAGUGGCCUUGGAUAUCAUGUAGAAGUAGUUAUCUUUGGAAAAGUAAAAAUCCAAAGACACGGAGAUUUCAAAAAUCAAAACACCUAGAAGACGAGUCUAAGAUAUUUAAUGUGAGUAAGUGAAGAACCACAAGGAGAAAAAGGGAAACGAUACAGGAGGGCACAAUUACUAAAUACUAUAGGAAACUUUAGUUCGAAAGGGCUCUCACUCUAAUAGGUUCCAAGCAACAUGGGUGGGGUUGGAGUGUGGGGACACACCUAGGCAGAUAAAUUUCAUUCAAAUAUUUAUUGUUACUUCCUGCAGUGACAAGUACUGUUUUAGUUGCUGGGAAUACAGGGUGAACAAAGCAAUGUUAGUUCCUUUAUUGGGUGGAAGGAAGUAAAUGAAUAAAUAUGUCUCAGGUGGUAAUAAGUAAUACAAAAAAAAAAAUAAAGCAUAGUAGAGUGACUAGGCUAUGUUGGGAUAAGGUAGUGGCAGGAUUUACUAUUUUAUAUGGAUGGUCAGAGACAUCUCAGAUAAGAUAUUUGAUCAGCAAUUUGAAGUGAGGUAUCUAGUGUGGUAAAUAUGUGGUGGUGGGGGGAGAGCAAGGGCAGGGGGAGCAGCAUUCCAGAUAGGGAACAGGAGGUUUAAGGCAGGCAGGAACAUACCUGCCAUUUAAAGGACCAUUAAGGAAUCCACUUGGCUAGUGUGGAGGGAGCAAGAAGAGUGAGCAAUGAGGGCAGAGGCAGUAGUGAACAAGAUUACGGAGCUUUGUAGAUGAAUGGAAGCCUUUUUGGCUUUAAUUUGCUGAUACAUAUGGGAAGCCAUUUGAGGAGCUGUAAGCAGAGGAGUGAUACGUGAUUUAAGAGUAAUUGACUCAACCUUCUUGUUGGUAGCAAAGGCAGAAGCUAGGACACCAGAUCAUUGGAUAUUGCAACAAUAUAGACAAGAAAUGACACAGGCUUGGACCCGUGUGGUAUCAGUGGAGUAAAACAAAUGGUGAGAUUCUGUAAAUAUUUUGAAAGUAGAUGGAUAGGAUUACAAUGUGUGAGAUACAAAUCAAAAACACUUCUUUUUUUUUUUUUUCCCCUCAGUAACAGGAUGGAGUUUCUGUUUAUACUGUGAUGGGGAGGAUUGUGUAAGGAUCAGAUUUUGCAGUGGUAGCAGCUGGAGGAAUCAAUUUAGUUUCGGAAUGUUGAGUUUGAGAUGCUAUUAAACAUGGAGGAGAUAUUCAAAUUCUUGAAUUUCAGGGUAAAAAGAG